rnacentral:misc_RNA from 1 species
UCCGGCUUAUCACCGGCGGUUUCUUUAGAGUGCCCAACUAAAUGAUGGCAACUAAAGACGAGGGUUGCGCUCGUUGCGGGACUUAACCCAACAUCUCACGACACGAGCUGACGACAGCCAUGCAGCACCUGUGCACGAUCUCCGAAGAGGGGCUCUCGUUUCUGAGAGCUUGCUCGUGCAUGUCCAGCCUGGGUAAGGUUCUUCGCGUAGCCUCGAAUUAAACCACACGCUCCACCGCUUGUGCGGGUCCCCGUCAAUUCCUUUGAGUUUUAGCCUUGCGGCCGUACUCCCCAGGCGGGAUACUUAACGCGUUAGCUUCGCUACCGAGAGGGUCGAUACUCCCAACAGCCAGUAUCCAUCGUUUACGGCGUAGACUAC